GACGAACGCUGGCGGCGUGCCUAACACAUGCAAGUCGAGCGGAGAUUGCAGCAAUGUAAUCUUAGCGGCGGACGGGUGAGUAACGCGUGGGCAACCUACCUUUAUCUGUGGGAUAACACAGGGAAACUUGUGCUAAUACCGCAUAACAUCAUGAAAAGACAUCUUUUUAUGAUAAAAGGAGUAAUCCGGAUAGAGAUGGGCCCGCGUCCGAUUAGCUAGUUGGUGGUGUAACGGACCACCAAGGCGACGAUCGGUAGCCGAACUGAGAGGUUGAUCGGCCACAUUGGGACUGAGACACGGCCCAGACUCCUACGGGAGGCAGCAGUGGGGAAUAUUGCGCAAUGGGGGAAACCCUGACGCAGCAACGCCGCGUGAAGGAUGAAGGUUUUCGGAUCGUAAACUUCUUUGAUGAGGGACGAAUAAAUGACGGUACCUCAAAAACAGGCCACGGCUAACUCGUGCCAGCCGCCGCAGUAA
rnacentral:rRNA from 1 species